CAGGUCUCUGGGCCAAUACUGACACUGAGGAGCGAAAGCGUGGGGAGCGAACAGGAUUAGAUACCCUGGUAGUCCACGCCGUAAACGGUGGGCGCUAGUUGUGCGAACCUUCCACGGUUUGUGCGACGCAGCUAACGCAUUAAGCGCCCCGCCUGGGGAGUACGAUCGCAAGAUUAAAACUCAAAGGAAUUGACGGGGCCCCGCACAAGCAGCGGAGCAUGCGGCUUAAUUCGACGCAACGCGAAGAACCUUACCAAGGCUUGACAUAUACAGGAAUAUGGCAGAGAUGUCAUAGCCGCAAGGUCUGUAUACAGGUGGUGCAUGGUUGUCGUCAGCUCGUGUCGUGAGAUGUUGGGUUAAGUCCCGCAACGAGCGCAACCCUCGUUCUGUGUUGCCAGCAUUAAGUUGGGGACUCACAGGAGACUGCCGGGGUUAACUCGGAGGAAGGUGGGGAUGACGUCAAAUCAUCAUGCCCCUUAUGUCUUGGGCUGCACGCAUGCUACAAUGGCUGGUACAAACGGCUGCGAUACCGCAAGGUGGAGCGAAUCCGAUAAAGCCAGUCUCAGUUCGGAUUGGGGUCUGCAACUCGACCCCAUGAAGUCGGAGUUGCUAGUAAUCGUAGAUCAGCAACGCUACGGUGAAUACGUUCCCGGGGCUUGUACACACCGCCCGUCA
rnacentral:rRNA from 1 species